rnacentral:rRNA from 1 species
GACGAACGCUGGCGGCGUGCUUAACACAUGCAAGUCGAACGGAAAGGCCCUGCUCUUGUUGGGUGCUCGAGUGGCGAACGGGUGAGUAACACGUGAGUAACCUGCCCUUGUCUUUGGGAUAACUUCAGGAAACUGGGGCUCAUAUCGCAUAGGAUCUCCUGCUGCGUGUUGGGGGUUGGAAAGUUUCGGCGGUUGUGGAUGUACUCGCGGCUUAUCAGCUUGUUUGUGGGGUAGUGGCUUACGAAGGGUUUGACGGGUAGGCCGCUUGAGAGGGUGGACGGGGACCUGAGGCCUAAGAGAGGGAGCAGAAUGGUAGCGGAGGCAGCGGGCGGGAACAUGGCGGAGCGGGGGGGAGCGAGAUGUGGAGACGCUGGGUGCGGGAUACCCGCCUUCGGGUUAUAAACCGAUUUCGCAUGAGAUGAAGCGUGCGUGACGGUAAUGGGUCAAGAAGCCACGGCUAACUACGUG